rnacentral:other from 1 species
GACUUCCUGAGAUGUUCGACAGCGGGUUACGUCCCUGAGCCGAUACUUAUAUAUUUCGAAUUGGUUCUCUAUUGUUGGUGUGUAUGCUUACCUUGAUCUUAGGAUCCUGAUGUAGGAAACCUGAAAACAAUUACAACUGAUUCCCUUGAACCGUCGGGUUCAAGGACCGACCACCCACAACGGCAUCUCGGGUUCUUU